ACGCUGGCGGCAUGCUUACACAUGCAAGUCGCACGGACCCUUCGGGGUGAGUGGCGGACGGGUGAGUAUCGCGUAGGGAUCUAUCCACGGGUGGGGGAUAACAUCGGGAAACUGGUGCUAAUACCGCAUGAUACCUGAGGGUCAAAGGCGCAAGUCGCCUGUGGAGGAGCCUGCGUUCGAUUAGCUUGUUGGUGGGGUAAAGGCCUACCAAGGCGAUGAUCGAUAGCUGGUCUGAGAGGAUGAUCAGCCACACUGGGACUGAGACACGGCCCAGACUCCUACGGGAGGCAGCAGUGGGGAAUAUUGGACAAUGGGCGAAAGCCUGAUCCAGCAAUGCCGCGUGUGUGAAGAAGGUCUUCGGAUUGUAAAGCACUUUCGACGGGGACGAUGAUGACGGUACCCGUAGAAGAAGCCCCGGCUAACUUCGUGCCAGCAGCCGCGGUAAUACGAAGGGGGCUAGCGUUGCUCGGAAUGACUGGGCGUAAAGGGCGCGUAGGCGGUUUACACAGUCAGAUGUGAAAUUCCAGGGCUUAACCUUGGGGCUGCAUUUGAUACGUGUAGACUAGAGUGUGAGAGAG
rnacentral:rRNA from 1 species